rnacentral:rRNA from 1 species
GUGAGGAAUUUUCCGCAAUGGGCGAAAGCCUGACGGAGCAAUGCCGCGUGAAGGAUGAAGGCCUAUGGGUUGUAAACUUCUUUUCUCAGAAAAGAAUUAUGACGGUAUCUGAGGAAUAAGCAUCGGCUAACUCUGUGCCAGCAGCCGCGGUAAGACAGAGGAUGCAAGCGUUAUCCGGAAUGAUUGGGCGUAAAGCGUCUGUAGGUUGUUUAAAAAGUAUUCUGUCAAAGAUUAGGGCUUAACCCUAGAUAGGCAGAAUAAACUUUUAAGCUAGAGUUUGGUAGAAGCAGAGGGAAUUCCCGGUGGAGCGGUGAAAGGCGUAGAUAUCGGGAGGAACACCAAAGGCGAAGGCACUCUGCUGGGCCAAUACUAACACUGAGAGACGAAAGCGAGGGGAGCAAAUGGGAUUAGAUACCCCAGUAGUCC